rnacentral:lncRNA from 1 species
UGGGUGGUGGCUGAAGAAGAUGAAGGCAGUGAAGUUUCCAUCCCAAGGCACAGUGUUCAAUUAUUAUCUUCAUUCAGAGAUGAGGAAGUUCCUGCUCUGGGUGUUAUGAAAUUCCAAGCUCUGAAGUGGAUCCAGAUGCAUCUCCGCAGGUAGAUGUUGCCAGUUUGUGCAUCAAGACUGGUGCCAAGAACAUGCCCACAGUGUUUUUUGCUGACAGAUGCCCAGGUUCCAGAUGAACGCUUUCUUGUGCUGAUUAAUGACUUGUUGGCAUCAAGUGAUUAGACCAACACAUUUCUUGAAAGAUCUUCUCCAAUGACAAAUGAUCUGUGGUUUCAGUGAACUUUAGAGAGAUUACUUCUCUUUCAGGUAUUUGUAAGGGAAGCCUUUAGAGAAGCCAAAUCAACCCAGCCAGCUUGAGCAUUGAGUUUAACUUGCUUAACAAAACACAGAGGAGACAAAUUGCUAGGGCUUAUCAUGCAUGAGUGCAUUGAUUUGGUGGAGAUAAGAAUCUCUUUCACUUAAUAUGUUUUCUUUGAUUUGAUUUCACUGACAUCAAGCAAUUUCCUUGUGACUGUACAGGUGUAACAAAGUAAUGCAGUUGCACCCAUCUUCUGAAAAUAAGAGAAUCUGGAUUUCAGUUGUGGGGAUCUGAAGAAAGGAGAGGGGGGAAAAAAAGGGGUAGGGGUAGGGAAAAAAGGAAAAACAGGAUAAAUACCAUGCUAUGCAGUUGGAGAGCAUCUUAAAAAAAAAAAUUUCAACUAUUAUUUAUAUUUGUAACCAGACAAAACAUCUGAGAAAUGCAGGGAAGAAAAGAACUGCUAUUUUGUGGGAUAUAUCAUAUGUGGGUGAACUACCUAUUGGCAAUUAUUUUUGCCUUUUUAAAACAAUACUAUUUCUUUUCCCUUAAAGAAUUGUUCUCUUUAAGAGAAAACGUGUGAGGAACAAAAUGGAUGCUCUUUUCUUACUUGAUUGAUUAUCAGAACGUACCUCUAGUUAUGUACCAAAACUUCAUAGCAGUAACUGCCAUAUAUUUUUCUCUGAAUGUACUGUGUAAAGCUUCUUCUAACUGCCCUUUUAUGUUUUUGCAGGAGAUCUUCCUGAUCUGUUCAGUGGUGAAGAUGAGGAGGGCAAAGUUGCAGGAGUCAGAAAAGAAGUCCCUGGGCUUGAUGGACACCACAGAAAGCUGCUGGAGGUGGUUCUUUGGUAGAGCGCAGCAGCUGUUAAAAGUAAGAAAGCUGGAAAAGAGAUGUGGCUGUCCAAAUCCUUUCAAUUUUCAUUAUAGUUCAACAGUUGGGAAAUAUUCAUCUCCAAAUGUGUAUGGUGAAGUAGAGUCGAAAUGUUGUGCACUGGUCCAGGCAAAUACAAAAUUAGCAACAGCUAAAGAGAAUCUAGAAACAAUCUUGAAAAAGCUUAUUAUUGAACAGAAGACUGUGUUUACAAGCAAGCACCCAUGGAGCACUUCUGAGGGAUUAUUUGUGGAUGGUUGUUAAUUAUUCUUCUAAUGGAGUAUCUGCAACACAAAGCGCUCUUGAAACAAACAAAGACACCUUUGGUACCUUGGGAGAUGGUGGGUGGAAGGAGUUCCUCUGCUGCAAGCUAAUUACCCUGACUUAUCAAACAAGACUUUAAACGAUUCAAAAGAUGUGGCAUUAACUGAGUUUAGAAGACUUGGGUUGACUCUUUUUUCUUGUGAGUAUUUAGAUCUGGAAUCUCACAACUUAAGUUAUCAAGCAAUAAAUGAAGGCUAGUCAAUUCCA